UACAGAGGGUGCAAGCGUUGUUCGGAAUUAUUGGGCGUAAAGCGCGUGUAGGCGGCUUGGCAAGUCAGAUGUGAAAGCCCUCGGCUUAACCGAGGAAGUGCGUCUGAAACUGCUGAGCUUGAGUGUCGGAGAGGAUGGCGGAAUUCCGCAAGUAGAGGUGAAAUUCGUAGAUAUGCGGAGGAACACCUGUGGCGAAGGCGGCCAACUGGCCCGACCCUGACGCUGAGGCGCGAAGGCGUGGGGAGCGAACGGG
rnacentral:rRNA from 1 species